rnacentral:misc_RNA from 1 species
AAAAUCCCUUCUGAUUCAUGUGCACAAGCUCCCUCUGAAACCAGGAUAUAAGCCUUUGCUUCACUGGCUUCAUGGUCAACUUCAGUCAUGAGAUGAAAGAUCAUGGCAAGAUUGAUGCCAUGAUCAAAUUCAAAACUCACACCGUCGCCAAAGUCCUUAUUGACAAUGGGUCAGGACUGAAUGUCCUGCCGAAGGUACCCCCCAAACUCAGCUUAAUCCCUCUACCAAAGUCAGUGUUUGAACGGAACUGGUUGCUUACUUACUUUUAGCCUCGGGAUACUACUUUUCCAGGAAAUGAUUUUUGGGAAAUCUGGACAUUCUAUCGAUUUUCCGGACAGCUAUAGUUUUAGACCGUCUACUAUCUCAAGCUCAAGCAUCUUCUCUUUCUCUACGUAAUUGCGCUCAACCAACGGGCCGGGC